AAACGCUAGCCCAUUCCCGUCCGCAUCCCUGCCGCCGCCGCCGCCCUCCCAAUUCCCUCUGCUCCUGCUGCUUCCCUCCACCUCUCCCUCCUCCACGCCGUUAGGGGCGCCCUUCAAGCCCCACCUCGUCGGUUCCCCACCCCGAGCUCCUUCUCCCCCAUCCCGGGCGAGCACUGGAUAGGCAGAGGGAGUGCCUUGGUCGAGGGACAACGAGGCUCGCCGGCUGGGCGACUUCGAGCGCUGGAGGCUAGACAGGCACAGGCAGGAGCGGAUCCAUGUAGGGGCAUGGGUGCCGUCGCGCCAUCGAAGGCCUCCACGACGCCCUCUACCAGGUCACCUCUCUCCAAGAUCUCCUUUUUACCCAUGUUUUUACCACUCUCCAAGCUCGCACUAUUGCUCCGGAAAAUUCCCUUUGGAAUUGGGGAUGAAGGAAUCGAUUUCGAUUGAUUGGCGCCCCGCAGACGACGGGCGUGGGACGCCGCGGGAGGCGUGCCGCGUUCGAGAGCCACCGUGGAUUAUCUUCGAGGUGUCAGGCGACAUUCGCCUCGAGACCUACCUCCGGGUCUCUUCCCACAUGACCAUUGACGGGCGCGGGUAGCGGGUCAGGCUCACCGGCAAGGUGCCGAUAUAUUUCUUAAUCUGCUCGUUAUGGUUCUCCAAAUAUUUUCAGAGAAUAAAACUGGCUGAAGAUGGUGCGUGCAGCUUGCCUCUGAACUCGUAAUGUCCGGCCAUUGCAUCUGGGAGGAGCUCCUCUUCAGGAAGAAUGCCGGGACGUACGACACUGCUGCGACUGCCGUUCUCGUCCGCGUUUUGACUACACUUGCAGGCAACUGCAAAGGCAAAAUCUACAUGUGAGAAGUGCAGAUGAGCCCCGCUGUGCUAAUUACCUUCAACUAAGCAAGUUCAGCUAUUCCCAGUUUAUCCUCUGCAUGUGGUGGUGGUGCUAGCUACUAAUUAACUUCUAUGUUCCUGCAUGUACACUCUCAUAAUUUCCAGUAUUCUGAAUUGGCUGCUGAAGUACAUAAGUGAAGUCUAUUGGUGAAGGAGAUGUGAAGAAUGAUAUAGAGCAAGUAGAUAAAAACCGCAGUUGUUGGGCCCAAGGUAGGCUCCUUCACUCAGAGUAUAUGUUGGACGGUUUCUUGUUCGACAUCAAUUUCUGGUUGGAGAUUGAACUGCAUUCCAGUUUGAUUAUGUGAUUACAUCAAAUUUGUGCAUAUUAACUGAAAUGUGUAAUGCUACAAAGUAGAUAGGUUUUCCUAGCAUUUUACCACGGGGCGUCUCUUUUCUUUGUCUUCUGCCCCUUGUCUUGUACAUUCUCCAUUUAAUGACAUAUGGAUGGCUAACCAACCAUUUUUGU